rnacentral:rRNA from 1 species
CAGUAGCCGCGGUAAUGCGGAGGGGGCUAGCGUUGUUCGGAAUUACUGGGCGUAAAGCGCACGUAGGCGGCUUGGUAAGUUAGAGGUGAAAGCCUGGAGCUCAACUCCAGAAUUGCCUUUAAGACUGCCGAGCUAGCAGGUGAGAGAGGUAAGUGGAAUUCCGAGUGUAGAGGUGAAAUUCGUAGAUAUUCGGAAGAACACCAGUGGCGAAGGCGGCUUACUGGCUCAUACUGGACGCUGAGGUGCGAAAGCGUGGGGAGCAAACAGGAUUAGAUACCCCAGUAGUCCCUGUCUCUUAUAC